UCACCGUCUGGCUCGGAUUCGCUUGGUGCAGGCCGGGAACCAAUUGUCUAACACAUCCACGAAGUUUUACUUGCUGGUUUGGGAGAAGGGAUUGGAUCCCGCCUUGCAUCAAUUGAAUCGGAGCCCUGAUGGUGAAA
rfam:Brassica napus, WGS project CCCW01000000 data, contig: 8940